rnacentral:lncRNA from 1 species
AGACAUCUGGGCUGCUAGCUGCAUGAAGGAGCUACCCGCUGUGGGUCUCCUCUUUGCUGACAGCUGGACACUUGACAGAAUGACCUGCCUGAACUCGGGACCUGCAGAAUGAUGGGACUGAAGAAGCUGUAACACAAACAGGGCUAAAACACGCACUCUCCUCCCCCUGCUCCCCACCGCCCCACCCACUUGCCACAUUGGAGGUGAUGAGAAGGAGAGAAGAGCUGUGGCCUUUCAGGGAGCAUAGUCCCAGGGGCUCCCUGAGCCAGGGCUGUGAAACCCUCUUCCGGGCACUGCAGUUCCUGGCAUCUCCAAACUUCUGAGUGCCACCGCAUUCCCCGCGUCCGGAUGCAGGUCAAUGCACAGAAAGAAAUCUCUCUCCUGACUUUAGUACAAUGGCACGAUUGGUGGCCACAGUCCAAGGAUGGUUGCUGGGGCACCAAGAGAUUUCUGACAAAGGGCAUUAAAACUGAGAAAGUUUGGGAACCUCUGAAUGCUGUAGAAUAAUGGCCUCCAGCUCCACCCAAGUUGCUGCAAGAGACUUUAUUUCAUUUUUUUUAA